GGCCCUGGAAGAGAAGUUUCCCCGGUGUGUUCAUUUUAUCUGUGACAAAUCAUUUCUGGCCAGUCUUUUUGCAGUAUC
rnacentral:pre_miRNA from 8 species